GACGUAGGGCGCGAGCGUUGUCCGGAUUUAUUGGGCGUAAAGAGCUCGUAGGCGGCUUGUCGCGUCGACUGUGAAAUCCCGCGGCUCAACCCCGGGUCUGCAGUGGGUACGGGCAGACUAGAGUGCAGUAGGGGAGACUGGAAUUCCGUGGUGUAGCGGUGAAAUGCGCAGAGAAUCGGGAGGAAGGCCGGUGGCGAAGGCGGGCGCUCUCGGAAGCAUUUCUGACGCUGAGGCUCGAAAGCGUGGGGAGCAA
rnacentral:rRNA from 1 species